rnacentral:lncRNA from 1 species
UGAAGACGUGGAUCCUCCAUUCCAUUUGAGCAGCGUGGCGACGGACGUUUGGGUGGACGGCAGCUUGCUCCUCUGAUUGUUUUGCUUCUGAUGUAAAAAAUGUUCUCUCUGGUCUGCUGCCGCGACAUCAAGGGGACCUGCUUAAUUUGUUGUGGUGUUGCCUACCUGGUGCCUGAGUUUGACUUAUUUUUAUAGGGUUUUGCGACGGUCGUGCCGCCUUUGGCUUGUGUCUUGUAUAGCUGAAGUUUGUUCCCCAGUUUGUUUUGGUUCGCCUUUGAGAUACCGUGCGUUGUUAAGUGAGAUCAAGAGACAGACAAGAUGCUGAUGUUAGCGAGUACUUGGGCUGUUUGGUUGGUUUAUCCUUGAUGCGUUUUCUUAGCUGACAGUGAGUGAUCCAUGACAUAAUUUGGUUAUCCAUCCCCUUGUUUUCCCAGCUGCAUUUUCUUGUCAGUGAUGAUUUCCUUGUCAUAGUAAUAUUUCCUUGUCACUGUCAUUAGCUGUGAAAUCUUCUGUUAACAAACUUUUUUGAGGGAGAGCAGAGUGUCUAGCUUUGUUAGCCUGAACAUUUUUUUUCUGCAGCUUAGCCCUAUUAUGUUGUGUGUUUUCUCAGACAUGUCCCUGGCGAGGUGAAGCAAAAAUCACCGCCGUAAAAUGUCCCAGUUUAGCUCGAGCAACUCCAACGCUCCGACCUGUCCGUGCAGUCAAAAAAUGUUGCUCAAAGCACAGACCCAUUCUCAUUUUUGUCCAUUUUGUCCGCUCGGACUCAUUUUUGACGCAAAUGUGGGUUGGAGGUGGACACAAAGCGGACGUCUUUUGUGUCCUCUUCGUCCCUGCUGGUGCUCGCCGCGCACAAGCGCCCAUCCUUGCCGGCGCCAGUUUCCGCCGAUGCUCGUACCCACACGCGGCGCUCGACCCUGCCGGUAGCCUCUUGUUUUUCUUUCAUAAUAAAAUGAAAUGUCCGCUUCAAAUGGGUCGCUUGAGUUGGGUGCACAAAUCAUGUCCGUUAUUUGCUUUGUGUCCGCUGUCCGUUUUGCCGACCCAAAUGGACAAAACGUUCAAAAAAAGGGACAAGAUUCGGGUCAUUGCAUUGGAGUUGCCCUAAGUUGCCUGAAUUUUGAAUUCAAGCCAGUUGGUUUUGUUUUUGAAGGAAGGGAAGGAAUAAGGAGGCACAUCGGAGCACCGGCCACACCGGUAAGGCCUUGACCAGGAACAAGCUGUAGCCGGCGGCGAGCUUGCGGACUUGAGUUUGAAGUUUGACGGUUUUCAGGAUGCGGGGGUGCAGGUUGGUGCACUUGUUUAGAGGGAUGUCGACAUCACGGCGAUGGGCGACGGUGAGGCUGGUGCAGGAGCGUUGUUGUCCGCGGGCGAUGGAGGCAAGGUGGAUGAUGAGCGGAGGAGGAAGGUGGAAGAAGCCAUCUAGCCGUCCGCUUUAGAUUGGACGGUUCAGAAAAAAUUGAUGACCUAUUUUUUUUGAGGAUCUUUUUUUGUUUUGUUUUGAGAAACACCUAUAGUAUUUCUUUUCCUAGUCAGAUUGACUCUGGCCAGGCCCAAGAGGACCAUCUUUCUGCCCAAGAAACGGAGGAGAAUGGACACCGGUACAACGUUCACCAACCGGCCGCAUAUUCCUCUCCGCAACAACACCAGCCAUUUUUCUAAAAAAAAAAAACACGAGGAGGCUCAUCGCAUCAGUCAUCCGCGUACGGCCGCCUUCAUCUUUUUCUUGAAGGAAAAGNNNNNNNNNNNNNNNNNNNNNNNNNNNNNNNNNNNNNNNNNNNNNNNNNNNNNNNNNNNNNNNNNNNNNNNNNNNNNNNNNNNNNNNNNNNNNNNNNNNNNNNNNNNNNNNNNNNNNNNNNNNNNNNNNNNNNNNNNNNNNNNNNNNNNNNNNNNNNNNNNNNNNNNNNNNNNNNNNNNNNNNNNNNNNNNNNNNNNNNNNNNNNNNNNNNNNNNNNNNNNNNNNNNNNNNNNNNNNNNNNNNNNNNNNNNNNNNNNNNNNNNNNNNNNNNNNNNNNNNNNNNNNNNNNNNNNNNNNNNNNNNNNNNNNNNNNNNNNNNNNNNNNNNNNNNNNNNNNGCCCACCCCAGCCCCCGCCCGCCCCGCCGGCCCGGGGCUCUACGCCGACAUCGGCAAGAAGGCCAGAGGUCGGCGCCCCUUCUCUUCCCCGCUGGGGUUUGGAUUCAGUAGCUUCGGUGAUUGUUUGAUUUGCUGACGCUCGUUUCUCCUCGGGCGGGAUCUGCAGAUCUCCUCAACAGGGACUACACCACCGGCCAGAAGUUCACCUUCACCACCACCGCCGCCAACGGAGCCGUGAGUGCCCCCCUUCUGUUCGUUCUCAGUCCUAUGCUACAGCUUGUCCUGUUGCUCAUAUUCCUUCGAGUAGAUGCUGCUUGCUUUGGUUGCGGCGGCGUUUAGGCGGAUAGUGGAUUAGGGUUUAGGGUGGACUCGGGAAUGGUCUGGUUUUGCUUGCCGAGGCCCGAUUCAUGUUGGCGACUGUCCGUGGUUGCCCUGCUAGUCCCCUGUUGAAGAUCCGUGUUGACAUGUGGUGCGACUGGUAUCGCAUAUACCGGUUUACGUGUUGUUAUUGCGUGGGUUUUUUGGGUUUAGUGUGUAGCAGCCCUUCUGAAUCAUGGCUGUAAGAGGGAGGUCCCACUCAAGGUUUUGGUGUUAGAGUGGACUGUAACUUGUCCGAUGCUUACAAGUUAUCCUAGCUGACACUAUGCUUGCAGCGUUUGGAUUGAUGACUGCAGUUUUGGUGAAUCUCCAGUUUAAGUUUGCAUGUAGCAGAUUAAUUCUGUUUCAUCGUUGCCUAGUUGGUAUUACCAAUGUCAGUUGGUUUUGAACCCUGUGCGUUUGCUCAAAUGAACUAGUGACAUGUUUGUUGUAGUAGACGCAUGGCUAUUUAGGAAGUUUUUUUUUUGGAUUUGCAUGUAACUUCAGUUUCUGUAUAUCUGAUGAAGUUUGCCCUGGCUGUAAAAAUCUCUUGUGACAUCCUGUUGUAUUUAAUUUUCUAAUGGCAUUUCAUUCCGGGCGUGAUACACUCUGGAUUUUUUUUUAAACAAGCUGAAUGUGUUCGCUAGCGACUUAAUUCAUUCAGCAAUAACUUGGUCUUGAGUUUACAUAGUAUAUCUAUUGCUCUGUACUCCCUAGUGAUCUAAAAGCUCUUAUAUUUCUUUACGGAGGGAGUACAAUUUUAUUUGCUUGGACUAGAAGCCGUAUACUUGUUGAAUUUUACCAACCAGUAUUCAGUGAAUUUAUUCUGGUUACCUGAUGCAUGCCUAGAAUGUACCUUUCCAAUUUUAUUUAUAGAUUAAAAUGGUCUGUGUUAAUGGUUCUACCGCUCUGGUGUGUUUGAUCAAGGGUCACUGACUAUGCUGUUUAACGAUUAUAAUAUCCUGAUGGGGACUGAAUUAAGAUGGUUUCAGUUAUGUUUUCGUGGUGCUACACCUAGCAUGAUCUAAUUUAGAGAAUUAAUUAUGUUAUUGUAUUUUAUUAUUUUCUGAAUCACCCUCUUGAAUAAAGAAAUGUACGUACUGUAUUGUUGCGAUGGUGUGCUAAGUUAGGGCCAUUUUUGUUUUCUCGCUAAUUAUGGCUGCAAACACAACAUUUCUUUGUCAAUGUUUAGUGUUGCACUAACUCUUGUUUUCAUCUUCCUAGACAAUUACUAGUUCAAGCACAAAGAAAAAUGAAGCUAUCUUGGCUGACCUCCAGACCCAGGUGAAGAUCAAGAAUUUCACAGUGGAUGUGAAAGCAACUUCGGACUCAAGUGUAAGUUCUUUUCUUCCCCCUUUGUGCUUGUUACUUGCCUAAUACUUGUCUUUCAUUGAUGUUUGCUUCUCCUGAUAUUGGAGGCCCCAGUUUCUGUACCAGUUAUACUAGUUUUUCCCCUUUACCAGGUUGUAACUACAAUCACUGUUCCUGAGCUGUACACACCAGGCUUGAAGGGAGUUCUUUCUCUUCCUUUCCCCUACCAGAAGUCUACUCCUGGGAAGGUAUUAUCACCUUUACUUUUGUAUCUUGAGUGUUGAACUAUCUUUCUGAUCUCGUCUUAGUGUCCAUCUAGGAAUAUUACCAAUUAUCAUUUUUGUAGCUUGAUAGAUAUUUAGAAGUUAAUCUGAAUUCUUGUGGUUUCAGGCUGAACUCCAGUACUUGCAUCCCCAUCUUGGCAUCAACGGCAGUGUUGGCCUGAAUUCAAACCCUCUUGUUAACUUUUCUGGUGUCAUUGGGACUAAGGCUUUUGCUUUUGGUGUUGAUGUUGCAUUUGACACUGCCUCUGGUGACUUCACCAAGUACAAUGCUGGACUGAGCCACACUAACCAAGAUCUUACUGCUUCGUUGAAUCUGUAAGUUGUUUCUUCCAGUGCUUUGCUGUAUUGUGUAAUUAUUUGAUUUCUGGUCUUAGCAUGUUGUUUACAUUCUACAAUUCCCAAUUGCCCUUAGCAAUCUUUCCUGUUAGCUUCUGAUUCCGAUUAUUUUAGUGCUGAAGUAGGGUCAAAGAGCUCUCGUUUUUGUCUGUGCAUCUUCUGCAUGAUGUAACACUAAUUUGGCCUAUAGAGUAUUCAUAAAUGUGGUACCUAUGGUGUUUAAUUAUCAAUUUCAGGAACAACAAGGCAAACACCCUGGCUGCUUCCUACUACCACCAGGUGCAGCGCACCACUGCUGUGGGAGCAGAGAUCGCUCACAGCUUCUCAAGCAACGAGAACACCAUCACCAUUGGGACGCAGCACGAGCUGGACCCCCUGACCACUGUGAAGGGGCGUUACAACAACUUCGGCGUCGCAAGUGCGCUCAUCCAGCACGCGUGGAGGCCCAAGUCUCUCAUCACCUUCUCCACCGAGGUUGACACCAAGGCCAUUGAGAAGAGCCCCAAGUUUGGGCUGGCCCUGUCACUCAAGCCCUGAUUUGGGAUUCGCGGGUGCGUUAGGAUGCUAGCAUUUCGGUACCAUCAGCUCUUGGUCCAGCGAACAAAGCUUUGGACAGACGGAACUUGUAAUGCCCAACUUUGGUGAUGCGACAAACUUAUCUGUCGUUUUUUAGCCUGUUCUACCUGAGGGGGUUUUCUACCCUGUUGAUCUGUGCUACUGGUCGUUAUGCACGGGCGUAUUGCGAAUUUGCGAUGUCGUGAAAUCUGAAUGCCACUUGGAUGUGCUAUGUGUUUGUGUUUGCUUUGUUAUGCAAAAUGCUUCCCAGAAAAAUCACAUAGCAAGUAAACAAUCAGACAUUGCCAGAUGCAAUCAACCAUCGAAUUUUGGGCUAAUUAGAUACUCCUGAUUCAUAUUAAUUGAUGCUGCAUUCGUGAGCCACAGACUGCUAGAAAGAAUGUACUUGGCAAUUACAGGACUCCUCUUGGCUGACUUCUGCCCUGUAGCCAUAAACUGUGGUUAUACUCCUUUCAUAGAGAUUUCAAUAUGGAAAAUGAAGAAUCUACACUCUAUAAUAUGUCUAUACAUCUGUAUUCCAAUAUAGAAAAUGAAUGAAUCUACACUCUAAAAUAUGUUAAAAAUCUUUAAAAGGGCUUAUUUAGAAACGAAGGGAGUACUUUGGAUAGUAUAGACAGUUAUUCAUGUUGGGGUCUCCGACGUUAGAAUCUUGGCGACUAAUACGCACCGGCCCAGCGGUUUUGGCCGGUCGAGCGUGAUCCGUCGGAUGCGAUCCAGGUGGGCCAUUGGAUUUGGCAGAAAAAUGGUUUGCCCCGAGCUUCUCCUUCCUCUUGCUGGUCCCGCAUCUUGUGCAUGUCCUCGAUUGGGCGGUCGCAGCACUGCGCCGCCUGCCGCCCGCCCUCACCGGCGUCCUGCUCGUCGCCGCCGCCCUCACCGGCAUCCUACUCAUCGUCGCCGCCCACCGCUCUCACCGGGGUCGAUCACCUCAUGCGUUUUCUCGCCUCCGUGGAUGCAUCAGCGUGUGCCCGUGGUUGCAGGCUUGCAGCUUCGGUGGCGACACUCGCAACUCCAGUGCACGGCGGCCGUGCUCCGGUGGCGACCAUAUCACCGGUUCCAGCAAAAACAUGGCCUCCUGUUCUCUCCAGCAAAAAAGUGGUCGAGGAAUGUUGGAACCAGCAAGAAGAUUUGCUGGAACCGUACUCGCAUUUUGCUGGAACCGGCCUUCGUCGUCUCCAGCAAGAAGAUUUGCUCAUCACCGUGUUUGAAGCGCCGUCGUAGCAAAUAUGCAUGGAUGUAGCAAAAAUCUUUGCCGGUGGUAGCAAAACAGAAGCACAGGUGCAGCGAAUCGCCGUUGCGGGUUGCAGCUAAUCCACAAACGGAUGAAGCAAAAUCCAGCGGCGGUUGUAGCAAAAACGUCGCCGCCAUCAUCGAAUGUCACAGCUAAGUCGUGAAGCAUGUAGCAAACAAGGAUGUCGAUAGUAGCAAAAAACAUCAACUGUUGCAGCUCCCCACCGAGGUCACACAUAAUCCGUACAUGGUUGUAGCAAAAAAAUUCACCCGUGGUAACUCUGCCAAAGCCGGUUGUAGCACACAUAGUCUCCGUUCCAGCAAAAACAUACAUCUUGUUGAUCGCCGCCGUCGUUGCACGUCGCAGCUAAGCCGUGAAGUAUGUAGCAAACAACGAUGCCGGUAGUAGCAAAAGCGACAACGGUUGCAACUUUUUUGGUACUGACAGUAGCCAGCCCUGACAUAUGUCGUCGUGGUUGAAGCUUUUUGCGAUGCAGGUCGAAGCUUUUUGCGACGCCGGUUGUAGCUUUUUGCGAUGGCACUGAGCGGUCCCAGCAUUUGGCGUCACCGGUUGAAGCUUUUUGCGGCGCCUGUGGUAGCUUCCUUGAACACCAGUUGUAACAUGGGAGGUGUCGCUUGAUGCUCGCAGCUUCGAUGAGCUUCUUCCAGUAGCAAAUGCUCAACGGCAUCGCCCAUAGCAGCUCGCAGUCUCCCCCGUCCUCGUCUGCCCCCGAGCUCAUAAGCCAUGGCGCCCAUAACAGCUCGUAGGAGCCCCUGUCGCAGUCCGCCCCGAGCUCGUAAGCCAUGGCCGCCCUGACCUUGAGCUCGCAAGCCAUGUCGGAUGAGAGCAGCACCCCCAUGGAGGAGGUGCAGCGUGAGGUGCGAAGGGGGGAGUGCUCGGUGCUGCCUGGUGCUAUGUCGGAGGAGGCAAGACGGAAACAGAUAGGGAAAGCGAGGUCACGGGCGCGAGGAAGAAGAAGUGGAUGCGGGCGUUGGGGAGAAGAUAAGGUACACGUGUUCCCUUCCUAGUGGCUAGCGCCAGCGUGGCGAAGUGACCGGCCCGAGCGUUCAGCCGGCGCACCGCGCGUAAAUGUUUCCCUAGAAUCUUCUGUUGUGACUUUUUCCUUGCGGCAAUGACGUUUACUGUACAGCACACUGCCCUUGAGGACUCAUCAACCACAAUAGGUUCAUAGCAUUGGCGAAUCUAGGGAAAAAAAUGGAGGGCAUGCUCAAAGUUAUUUAAAAAUACUAAAAAAUUGUUGCUAUCACUAGUAUAGAAUAGUCCUGCGAUGGUUUUACUUUCCGACUGUAUACAACAGUCGAUGUACAUAGACCAUGUGUGCCAACCCAUCUUCUGUAAGGGGAAUCAGGGGAGCCGUUUACAUGUUAGUAUGCAUCUCCUAAUUGAACCUAUAUUCCUUGUGUGUUUAAACUUGUGGAGUUCUUUGCAUUCACUUAGCAGGAGGCUUUCAUAUAGUUUGUCAAGUCAAGAGAUGUGAAUCAUAUUUUAAAUUCUUCAACUUAUCAAGGCUGGCACACCAGCUCUUGGCAAUGAGGUCACUCUAAACCUCGUCGUAAUACUUCCGCUCUUGGCUUUUGAGACCUGUACUGGACACUUGGUGGUGACAAAGUUCUUGGAUAUGUUUUUCUAGCGGACAAGCCGAAAGGUGUGUAAUCCCUCUAACAAACUGGUUAUGUUUGCACUACGUUGAUUGACAAGAGCAACUGGUUAAUUUUUGUAAGACAUAAGUGGUUCCUCUUUAAGAAGAGGUAUAUAUGUUCUCCCAAGGGUAAAUUUAUCGAAAGGUUGAAGUUCCAUCAUUACGAGUGUACAAAAUUCUAGUAGAUUUACCAACACAUUUCCAUUUAAUCACACAUAAAUGAAAUUUAUCAUUGCAAUUUUGCACUCGUGAUAUGUUUUGUCAUGAUCAAAACCUACACAAGAAUAAACAUUGCCUGGUAAUAAAAAAUGCUUGUACUUAUAAGUUAUAACCAUGAAAAGGUAACAAUUAUUUCCUACAUAACAAUUUGUUCCUCGAGAAAUAAGAAGAUCAACAUAUGCUAACACCAGUUAUCCAUCUUGCGCGUGCUAGGGGAUAUAUAAUGAGUUCUUGCCAAAAAAGUUCUAGCAAAAUGAUACUAGAAUUAAAUUGGAGCAAGAAAAAUGGAGUAAUGUAACUGCAUUUUAUUAGAGAACUAAAAUUUUAAACCUAUGUAGCAUACUGGGUCACGGUCGGUCUAUGAAAAUUCCAAGUGCCACCAUAUCAUCACCGGUUUUUGUAAGCUUCUUGCCCAUUAGAAUAGAAAUCCCCGCUAGCACCCUCCCGCAUUGAAGCAUAUGCCAGGCAAUUGGACGGAGGAGGUGUAUAAAAGUAGGAGGCGACCAUGGCCAUUAGUUGGAAGGGUGCAAAUGAGAGAGGCAUAUGGAGAGGGGAUGAGGCUAUUUGACAAAGCAUGCUCGAUAUGAGGCGGUAUGUCGUGAAUAUCAAAGGUGGCAUAGGACCCCCCCCUCUCGCACGUGAACUAGUAUGAGGUUUCUCUAAUGCUCGAUAGAGUUCGAUCCACACUGAAAGGAGGGCAAAAUAGCAUGGCUAUAGGGUGGGGCCAUUAAAAUGAUAUCUAACCCAUCAACGAUAAAUAUUGCACCCAUGAGAGCAAAGCUAUGCAGUAAACACGACCAAGCAGCUCCCAUCGCUCAAGUUCCCUAGUAGACACUGAGUAGUGUAGCGACACUUCUUAACCAAAGUAACUUCUGUAUGUAGAUAACGAUGGGCCACAAUGAUUAUAUAGUUCAGUAACAAGGAAAGUUAAACAUAUGAAUCUCUCUAUUAAUUCAUAUCCGAGGAGUUGCUUAAUAAUACACACCAUGCAUCUCCUGAAACAGUGCACAUGAAAACAAAUACCUAAUUGGGAAAAUGACAAGGGCAUAAAGAAUGAUCGAGCAUGUCUCCUUCCUUGGUCAAAAGCAACCUCUUCCGUAUGUAGAUAAGGUGGGCCACAAUGACUAUAUAGUUCAAUAACAAAGACAAUUAAACUUUUGAAUCUCUUUAUUAAUUCAUACCCGAGCACUUCCUUAAUAGUGCACACCAUGCAUCUCAUGAAAUAGUGCAAGGAUUUUUUUACCUAAUCGAGGAAAAUGACAUGGACAUAACGAAUGAUAGAUGGUGUCCAAUACAGGGGGUGGCCAAUGCCCAGGAGCACGACCUCAUCCAAGACCCGGCGUGCGGAGCAAACCCUAGAGGGAGAGGGUGACCUUUGUGAUGUCCAAGAAAGGAGGGCGGCAACACCCUCGAUCGCAUCUACCUUGUAAAACCAUAGACCUCUCCUGCCUAUAUAAAGGAAGGUCUAGGGUACCCAUCAAUCAUCUAUCCACAUAUAGAAAAACUCUUGGUAGCAAUUUCAUACAACAUUGUAACCCCUCGCACGAGGUAUCCCUCCACUAUGAAUCAUCAAAACCAGCAGGAUGUAGGGUAUUACUCUCUGAAGGCCCGAACCUGGAAAAACCCUCGUGUGACCUCCGAUCCAUGACUUUCAGCUGCGCUUGGACCCCUACCGAGGGAACUGACGAGAUUUCGCUCCGUCAAUGAUCGGGCAUGUAUCCUUCUAUGGUGAAAAGCAACCGCUUUUUGGCAUUACUCAUCGAUAAUAGAACAAGUUCAUUGGCACUUCCACCUCAUUAUCUUGGACUAGUCUGAACCUCCCACAUCUUCAUCUUUGCCCCAACUCAUUAUUAUCAACUAUAGUUAUUUCUAGUAUGUCCUUCCAUUUUAUCAUCUAUUAUCAUAUGAACGACACUCCCAAGAAAUGCUCAUGUUAACCAGAAAAAAAUAUGAAAUAUGAGCUAUCAACCAAGUUACAAUGGCCCAAAUGAACUUCAGUAGGAUUGAAUCAACUCAUGUCACCGAAAGAAUAAUAAAACACUACCCCGUGUUUCCUUCAAAAGACUUCCAUGCCAGUAUAUGUUCACCUAUUGUUUCUUUUGCCAUCUCCGCCAUCUCAUAUAUAUUCUCCUAUGCAUACGUCAUUCCAACCCUAGGUCCUAUGAGCAUGACAAAAUGAAUACCAGUGAGUGCUGGUCAUUGCCCAUGAUGUCUCCAUUCUCCGCUAUCAGACAAACAAAGGCAAUACUACGAGACAACUGGGAUAUACAAUGAGGAGCAGGCAAGGCAUUAUAGCUAUUUGGGAACUAUGUAUAGUGAAUCCUCAAUUAUAUUGUACCUAAAGUAUUUUAAAGCAAUAACACACUAAAUAGUGGCGGUGCUUUGACUAUAAAAAGGAAAAGCCAACAUGCAUGAUUUAGAUAAUGUAGUGGAAGUUUAUAGGAUUUGGACUAUUGAGUAGAUGAUAGGUUUUUCAAGUAUUUUUGCAAUUGUAUCUUAUUUUAUAUAGUCAAUAAAUAUUGAGCAUCAUUUCAAAGAUUCUUGUGUUUUGUCAUUGGGUGAAUACAAUUUUGUAAUGAAGGCAACAAUCCUGUAUGAUAUAUUACUCAAGGAAACAUAUAGAGACAACAUAUACGCCAACUUAAGUGUGGUAAUUGAAAAUAAUUGUAUUUUUAUGAAAUCAGGGACAUGAAACAAACACUAUAUUAAGAUAACGACACAUAUAAGGUGAAAUACACUGUUUCUUACAAACAUUAAAUUAUUGACUUUCCAAACAGGAACUUUAGCCAUACUGUCUUCAGCAUAUUAUGUUACCAUCUUUUGGAAGGAAAUUCGUUUAUAUGCUUACCUUAAUGCUAUAGCUUCACAAACAUUUCCCAAACCUAUGAUCUACUACAUCUUAUUCAUACAUUGCCAAGAGGAAAACAAGUCGAUCCUUGUUGACAUGGAGGAGCAGAAUUUCCCAUGCCAUCCGUUACAACUCCAGUUGACCCCAACAUAUGAUGCUCACUCCACACUGGCUGCUGAUUUAUUUGGUGACUAUAUAUGAAAGGUGGCCAUAACUGAGGCUGGUUGUUCAUGACUAUGGAUGAGCUUAUCGGAGCCUGCAACCCGAAGCUUGUUUCAUUGUUGAGACCGGUAGAACCAAGCAUUUGCAAGGGACCAGAACUAUUAUUCAUCGACCAUGGGUCCUCAUCGUGUAGCCCAACAUCGUUGAUGCUAUAACGUUGCGUCCCAAACGAGGCUCUUUUAUGUAGCCUCCUAAAGUACUUUUGUGCAUGGCUUGAGACUUGAACAUGCGUUUUAGUAGUGACAAAGUGCUUGGAUAUGUUUUUCCAGUCACCACGACCGUAGACACCUAGCCCACGGAGAAACAACCUACAAAAACAAGGUUCAUUAGAAUUUGUUAGACUAAGUUGUGGAAUGCAAAGAUGAAUGGUCGAUUGAGUUGUUUUAUUGAAGCAACCAAUAAAUUUAGAGACACAAAAUAUCCCGACUUACGUAGAUAUAUGUUUCUAACCAUUUCAACAACACACAUGCUUAUCAGAAAUCCUUAGAUGAAUGAACAUUUUGGAACAUAGAUGACCAUAUCAAACUACAACUAAACACUAUCUUAGCAAUUUUGUAUGGUUCUACAUGUUAUCAAUCUUUUGAAUAGGGGCAAGUAAUGCCAUAUUGGAGUUUUCUGGCCUUAUUUAUUACAUUUAUGUUACCUAAUUUCAAAUCAUUAUAUUUGACAACUCACAAAUAAAUGUAAGGGAUGUAAGUUUGUCAGUCUAAAACUUGUAUGGGAGGUGUAGAGAUAUAUCAUCACAAACUUAACCUAACUCUCACAUAUAUUAAAUCUGCAGAACAUGAUUAAUUAGUAUAUGGUGAUUUAAUAUAAAGAACAAUCUAAACUACAUGACAAAAGUCAGAGUAGACAUUGAUUACUUGUGUUCGUCGAUGGUCCAAAACCUCCCUUGGCGUGGGGGAACAACUAGUUGAUCACUAGUAAUAUUGUUCUCCAAAAUCUGCAUCUUGUUCUUGUCUACCAUCAAUGGUGCUUCCUUCGUCUCCGUGAUCCUCGUAUCCUCCAAUGCAUGACCAAAUAUCAAUUCAUUAUCAUUCAUGGUUGCUGCUUCCUCCUCCUCUCGUACCGCAUAGUCGUCAAUCACAUGGUCACCCAUGGUAUUGAUGCCACAUAUGUUGCUAGCACCAAUCUCCUGACCCGACACCCCAAAGUUAUUGUUCACUAGGUUAAUGGGGCCAACACUAUGUGUGUUGCCACCAACAACAUGUCUCUCCUCCCUCGAAUGCAUCAUAUACGGUUCCACGGCGAGAUUGACAUAAAGAUCUGUUACCUGCUGCCUUGUCUUUGAAGGGAAUAAUUCAUGGAGAGCAUCCACGAUGUUGUUGUGCCUCUUGUUCUUGUCAUCAUACACGAUUGUGUGGCUGUUGUGCCCAACAAUGAGUGACCUUGCCUCCUCUUCCUCUGAUGAGGUCCACCCUUGGUUGACCAAUGGAUCCAUGAGACUAGAUAGGUCAAAACUACAGACUUGUGGGUAGUAUGAACUAUGAAGAAUGCUUAGAGAAUGGGGACGGAGAGAGGACUAGGAUAGUGUAUUUAUAGUCCUUCCGGGUACGGAACCUACUUUCACUAAUUAAUUUGAUGCAUUGGUAGAUUGUCGGGCCACAAAAAUAGAGAUUUAACUAAAACUAAUAAACUGCUUAUGAAUCUCAUUGGAAGACACCGACACAUGUGAAGUUGAACUCAAGAUUUUAUCAUUUAUUUAAGAUUUUUUCGGUUUGGCGACAUGCAAUUGUAGAUAGGAAGACUGCUAGAGACAACACACGCAGGCCUGUUGAGUGUUGAUAAAUCUCAAUCUUGCCAGAGAGAAGACACCUGUGUUGUGCAUGCGUGACAUAUGUGCUCCUCUCAUCGCAGUGUAAGCCUGAAACCAUGGUAUUCGCCGCCCGCACAUAGGUAUAGCACACAAGAUUUUCAUCCGGUUUGGUCAUCGAUGGCCCAUAUAUCAAUGUCGAUUUUUAUGUACGUACACAUGUCAACGACAUUUUGUUGUGUAUGUAUUUGCAAAUAAUUUAUUAAUAUCCUCCACUGAGUAACUAUGCCACACAUAUGAUGCACUCAUUACCAGUGAAUGUAAGCAUAUCUUUUCUAUUAAUGUUGGUGAUUACUUAUCUCGCAUACAACACAUGAAAUUCCAUUGAUAUGCAAUGGGUCCUUUGAAACCAACUAAUACAUGCUCCACUAAAAUAUAUACAUAUCUACAUAUGCAUUUAAUAACCCAUGAAUUCAAAAAAUUGACACCAUGAUGUUGCAGCGCCCUCUAUCUCUCUCCAAAUAAUUUCAAGGUAAUCUACAUGAUAUGCACAUUAAAUUAUUGUGUUAUUUUCUAGAUAUGGUCACUAUUCAGAGGGCUUUGAAGGCGCUGUUGCUAUCACUAAUAUAGAAUAGGGCUUUGAAGGGGGUUCUCAGACACAGUCCUGUGAUGGUUUUACUUCUGACUACAAUACUAGUUGUAAAUAGACCAUGUGUGCCAACACAUAUUCUUCAAAGAGAAUCAGGGGAGCCAUUUAAAUUCAUGUUAGGAUGCAUCUCCUAACUGAACCUAUGUUUCUUGUGUUUCCGAAGUUGGAGAGUUCUUUGCAUUCUCUGAGAAGGAGGCUUUCAUAUAAUUUGUCAAGUCAAGAUAUGGGCAUCAUAUUUUAAAUUCUCCAACUUAUCAAGGCUAGCACACCAGCUCUUUGCAACGAGGUUACUCUAAAUCUCAUCGAAAUAGUUUUGCACAUUGCUUGUGACCUGCACUGAAUUCUUGGUAUCAACAAAAUGAUUGGAUAUGUUUUCAAGUGGAAAGGCGAAAGGGUGUGUAAUCCUCCGGUGAACCGGUUACAUUUUAUAAGGGUUUAAGUCGAUCUAGUAGGCGUUUUGUCGAUUGACAGUAGAAAACUUUUAAUUUUUGUAAGACAUAAGUGGUUACUCUUUAAGAAGAGCAAUAUAUGUUUUCCCAAGGGGAAAAUUAUUGAAAGGUCAAAGUUCCAUCAUUACGAGUGUAAAAAAAUUACUUGAUUUACCAACAUAUUGCAUUUAUUCACACAUAUAACAAAUUUGUCAUUGUCAAUUUUACACUUGUGAUAUGUGUUGUCAUGCCAAAAACCUACACAAGAAUAAACACUGUCUAUUAUUAAAAAUGGAUGUACUCAUAGUUUAUAACCAUGAAAAAGUAACAAUUAUUUCCUACGUAACAGCUUGUUCCUCAUAAAAUAAGAAGAUCAACAUAUGGUAACACCAGCUACCCAUCUUGCACGUGCAAGAGGAUAUAUAAUGAGUUCUUGCAAAAAACCUUCUAGCAAAAAUGAUACUACUACGAAAUAGGAGCAAGAACAAUGGAACAAUGUAAUUACAUUUUACUAGAGAUCUAAAAUAUUUAAACCUAUGUAGAUACAAAUCUCAAUCAUCCAUACUAGUAGCAUACUAGGUCAUGGUUGGUCUAUGAGAAUUCCAAGAGCCAUAAUGUCAUCAUCGGGUUUUGUAAGCUUCUUGCCCAUUAGAAUAGACUUCCUCGCCGAUGCCCUCCCACAUUGAAGCAUAGCCAAGCACUAGGACAGAGGAGGUGUAUAAAAGCAUGAGGAGACACAUGGACACUAGAUGGAAGGAUGCAAAUGAGAGAGGCAUAGGGAGAGGGAAUGUGGCCAUUUGACAAAGCAUGGUCGAUAGAGGGAGAAGGCAGUCACACGUGAAUAUGAAAGGGGGCAGGGGAUAUUUUUCCGCGCAUGUGAACUAGUAUGAGAUUCCAAUGCUCGAUAGAGUUUGAUGGACACUGAAUGGAGGGGAAAAUGAUGGCUUAAGGGCGGGUCCAUUAAAAUGAUAUCCUACCCAUCAACGAUCACAUUGCAACCAUGAGAGCAAAAGAAAUUUAGUAAACACCACUGAGUAGCUCCCAACGCUAAACUUCCCUAGUAGUCACCUAGCCGUGUAGCAAUAGUAUUUUACCGAAGUAACUUAUGAAUGUAGCACGGUGGGCCACAAUGAUUAUAUAGUUCAAUAACAGAGAAAAUUAAACAUAUGAAUCUCUUUAUUAAUUAAUAUCCAGUAUUUACUUAAUAGUACGCAUGAUGCAUCUCCUGAAAUAGUGCACAUGGAAAAUCUACCAAAUCGGCGAAAAUGACAAGGGCAUAAAGAAUGAUUGGUCAUGCCUCCUUCCUUGGUCAAAAUAAGCCGUUUUUUGGCAUUACUCAUCAAUAACCGAACAUGUUCUUUGGCACCUCCACCCUAUUAUCUUGGACUAGUAGCCACAUCCUACAUCUUCAUAUUUACUUCCAACUCAUUAUUAUCAACUAUUGUUAGUUAUAAUAUGUCCUUCCAUGUGAUCAUCUAUUACUAUACGAAUCGUAGGCUCCCAAGAAAUGCUCAUAUUAACUAGAGAAAAUAUGAAAAAUAUAAGCUAUCCAACCAAAUUACGAUGGCUAGAUGAAGUUUAGUGGGAUUGAAUGGACUCAUGUUGCCAAAAGAUUAAAGAAAACACUAUCCCGUGUUUCCUUCAAAAAACUUCCAUUCUGCUAUAUAUUCAUUUGUCAAUUAUUUCUUUUGGCCAUCUUCGGCAUCUCCGGUACUAUUUUGAUUCUGGGAUCAGAAUAGUUAUUCUAAUCACGAUUGGCCCUAUAAAGGCGCACGCUCAGGUCCUCCCGAAUUCCCGAAUCGUAGAAAAGAAAAAGAAACCUCCUCCACAUUCUCCCGCACCGAACCUCCACCUCCCCACGUCUCUGGAUCCAUCCCACCUCCCUCUCCCACGCGCCCCUCCCAACCCACCCCGGCCGGCGCCGGCCCGCCUCCACCCGGAUGGCCGCCUGCUUCCCACCGGCGCCGCUACUCCCAACCCACACUGUCGCCCCUCCGUACCCACACCGCCGCCUCUGCCGACCCACAUCACCACCUGCAUCCCGGCGAGUCGCCACUCCGACGACCCGAUCGGAUCUGACACGAUCCCGGUGAUAUACCUCCGCCCUGGCGACACGAGGCCCUCCCGGAUCCACGCGCUGCCCCACCCCGCUCCUGGAACCACCAACCCAGCCGCCCCUAGAUCUCGUGCCUCCCGACAAGCUCGAAGCCGGCGAUGUGGGAUGCAGCCGCCUCAAUGAACACCACAGUCGUCGCCUCCCACCACCUGGACACGCAGCCCAACCAUGAACCUCCGCACGAGUAGUCCGUCACCUCGGGGACGACCAGUCCGUCACCUCAGACGCUAGCAAUUUGUGGUCGAUGCUCCUCCUCUUGCUCGCGUAGGCAGAGUUGCUCCCAUGUCGGCUGGCCGUCCUGGGCCCCGCCGCUGGCUCCCACGAGCUCCGCUGCCCUUCUGCUCCAUCCUCUCCGCAUGAACCACCGGACCUUGAGCUCGACCAACCUCGGCUGUGUGUGCGAGCAAGCAUUGGUGCGCUCUGUUUGCGGUGUGUUCGUGCGUGCAGAGCUACCAUGUGGCCCCUGCUGCCAAGCAGCCCCCUUUCCCCCGCCCGGCUACAAGCACCCUCCGACGAGGCGUCAAGAUUUCAAGAUUUUCCACCUCUAUCGCACUCGACAAAAUCAACCAAAUCCCCUAGCUCGUCCUCAUCGCUUUCAGCUGUGAAUUUUCGCCAAAGUUCAGUCGAAAAGAGGCAUAAUCGUUCAGAGUUUCAGUGUUAGAAGUUCAGAAAAGAGAAAACGAACGAAGUUUUAAAAACAUGAGAAAAUGUAUUGUUUCCUGGCGUGAUGAAUGAUGGGACAGUGAAACACGGAUUUCAUGUUUGUUACAUUAGUUACCAAAUGUUCACUGUGGGACGUGGACUUUAGCUUCUUGUCUCAUGUAUAUCUGAACUUGAUUUGUACUACACCAUUGACAAAAGAUUCAGGAAGCAAUGAUUUGCACAACUAUAUUCAAUUCAACUCUCAAAAAGGAUGGGUGCCCGGAUCUAACAUUGGCUUGGCCUCUGUCUGAGCUGUGCUGGCCGCGCGUUCCGACGAGCUCUUCCGUUCCAGAGCAUCCUGCCAUCAUAUGGUGGCGGAGCCUUUUACUAUCUCUCUAAUUUUUGUUGCUAUUACUUUUACAGAGAUAGCAAGGAGAAAGACAAUAGUGUAUGCAUGUACUAAAAUAAUUCUUGAAGUUCACACAUGCUAGCAAGAGAAGUAGAGACAACACGUUAGAAGAAAAAAUUGUUAAACAAACACACAAAAAAACAAGGAAUUAAGAAAAAAACACAUCAUAGUUGCACGCAAAAAAAAGUAGAUAUAAUUUUAGUUCAAGCUCAUUUGUUUUCGGAUAAACCUGCAACAUUUGGAGAGAAUAGUGUGGUACUAGAUUGCAUGAAAAAAUAGAGGUUUACAAAAACUUACGAGGAUGUUGAUAUUUAAAAAAUCUCAAAGUUCAAAAUAAAUUGAGGAAGAAGUUCAAAUAAAAAAUGUACUUCAAGAAUCUUAAUAAUGGAUUUUCCCCGUUUAUAAAAAAUCAUAGAAGUCCAAAUUAAAAAAGAGGAGCAUUUCAAAAAGAUUUUAUAAAAACAUAUUUCCCCCACUCUAUAAAAACUAGAAGUUCAAAUUAAAAUAACGGUGCGGUUUAUAUAAAAAAAGGAUUUUCCCCGUUACUAACCAAUAAAACUAAGAAGCUCAAGUUUAAAAAUUGUGAAGUUCGAUGUCUAUAAAAAAUUCAGAUUUUUCACAUUAUAAAAAAAUAAAAUCAAGAAGUUUGAAAUUUUAAAACGAGGAAGUUCAAAAAACUCGAUUUUUCUCGUUACUAAAAAAUAAAACUAAGAAGUUCAAAUUAAAAUAACAGAGAAGUUCAAAGUUGAUAGAAACCUCAGAUUCUCGUUCUAAAGAAUAACUAAUAAAUUCAAAUUAAAAUAAGGGAAUAACAAAUAAGUUUAAAAAAAAUUCCCCGUGUUUUUAAAUUCGGAUUUUCCCCGAUACUAAAGAUUAAACCAAGAAGUUCAAUUUGAAAAAACUGAGUAAUUCAAUGUACACUAAAAACUUAGUUUUUCUCGUUACUGAAGAAUAAAACCAAGAAGUUCAAUUUUAAAACAUGGAGAAGUUUGUACUACAUGAUGUGUGUUUAAUAUGAGAAAAAUGAAUUAAAAGGCAAGGUCCCAAUUUUUAAAGAGAACUCACAUUUUCCUUGUUACAGAAAACUCACUUUUUCUUCGUUAUUAAAGAAUGUAAACAAGAAGUUCAAAAAUAAAAUAAUAAGAAGUUCAACUUUUAAAAAUAGAGCGCUUCAAGAUUCAUAAAAAAGGAUUAAGAAAUAAAACCAGGAAGUCCUUAUUAAAAAUAUGGAGAAGUUCGAGAUUAUAGAAAACUCAGAUUUUCCUCGUUAUUAAAGAAUGAAAACAGGAAGUUCAAAAAUAAAAUAACAAGAAGUUCAACUUUUAAAAAAUAGAUCGCUUCAAGAUUCAUAAAAAGGGAUUAAGUAAAUCAUAUUAAAAAUUCAUAAAAAAAACUCAGAUAUUUUCACGUAACCGAGAGAAGUUCAGAUUGAUAACUGAUGAAAGUUCACGUACUACACGGUGUGCAUUUUGUAUUAAAAAAAGAAUAAAAAAGCAAAGUCGAAAAGUUUUGUUGUUAUAAGUUCAAGUCCUCCGUCGAAGAAAGUUUAAAAAAUUAUUGUGAGAGAGAUUUGUACCAAAAGAAUAUCAUUUGUGUAACACGGACGAAUGGAUGAGAAAAUUACAAACGAAAAUACGUCACAGAAGUUCAACGUGAAAACAACAGGAAGUUCAACUACUACGCUGAAUGAAUUUGAGAUGAAAAACUUUUAAAAUCGUCACGAGUACGAAAAAAUGAUCAACACGGGAAACUUGCGUGCUUACAGCAGCUUUCCAUCGGUAUAUCACCUGCUCAAUUCCGGUGAAUGGAUGGAGAGUUACGAGCAGUGGAUGGAGACCUACAAGCAAAAAAAUCACGUGAAAAACAGAGUGAAGUUCAGGUACACGCGCCGAGAAGUUCAGGUUCUCCACGCGGUGCAUUUUCGAAAAAUCUGUUUCGCGAUAAAGGCAGAACGAAUGAUCUCGCCUUUUUCGCAAUUACUUGAAAACGGCUAGGAAUCAGAGAAAGCCAUAUUAUUUGUUCAAGCUUUACAACGCCAUACAAUGUUUCGCAUUUACAUGAAAAAGUUUCGCAUUUUCCGUAGCUUUUCAAUGGGAUAUUAUUUGCGCCUUUCCGUUAAAGUUUAUAGAAAAUACGACGAAAAUAUGUUUUUCGCCAUUUUCGAAACUGACUUAAAACCAUAAAGAAUUGGGAGAAACAAUACAUACCAAAAAGUUUCGCAUUUGUUCAAGCUUUACAACGCCAUAUUAUUUGCUGCAUUCGGACGCACGGUUAAAAAAUUAGCUCAAAAAUACAAACUCGGAAGGACUUGGACCAUUUUCUAAAUUACUCUUAAACCAUUCAAAAUUAGAAAAAAACUUUCAAGAUGAAAAAGUAGCGCAUUUUCAUAAGCUUUCCAACGCCGUAUCAUAUGCCUCCAUUAGAUUAGCCGUUUAGAAAUGACAUCGAAAAAAUGAACUCAGGUGUUCGGUUUAUGAAAUUUUACGUUUUUUCAAAUUACUCUUUAACCAUAGGGAAUUAGGGAAAACUUUCAACAUGUGGAAGGAGCGGUUUUGCAGCAGCUUUCCAACGCCAUAUUAUAUGCCUCAUUCCGAUAAACGGUUUAGAAAUGCGACCGAAAAUAUGAUUCACGUGUUUUGUGCGAAGAAAAAACGAUUUUAAAAGCUGCUCUUAAACCGCUUAUAUUUUGCCAAAAAUUUAAGUUGGGUCAUGAUAUUGGUGUCCAUAGCUUUCCAACGGUAUAUCGCAAGCCCCAUUUGGGCAAUGUUGGCGGAAGUUCAACCUAGUUCACAGGGAAGUUCAACAUACUACUAGUGGGGCAGGUCAGGUUGUGAUCAAAAUAUUAUUCUGAUCCCGUGAUCAGAAUAAUGUUUAUGUGUGUGUGUGUGUGUGUAUAUAUAUACAUAUAUACAUAUAUACAUACAUAUAUAUACAUAUAUAUAUAUAUAUAUACUAUAUAUAUAUGAUCUCAACCUGAACUUCCUAAGUUAUACAACAUGAACUUCCCUCUGUAGGAACCCGACCUUUGGGUGUAGGGGAACGCAGUAUUUCAAUUUUUAUUCCUACGAUCAUGCAAGAUCUAUCUAGGAGAUGCAUAGCAACGAGAGGAGAGAGUGUGUCUACAUACCCUCGUAGACGAAAAGCAGAAGGAUUGAGUAACGCGGUUGAUGUAGUCGAACGUCUUCGCGAUCCAACCGAUCAAGUACUGAACGCACGACACCUACACGAUCUGCACACGUUCAGCUCGGUGACGUCCCUUGAACUCUAGAUCCAGCUGAGGCUGAGGGAGAGUGUCGUCAGCACGACGGCGUGUUGACGGUGAUGAUGAAGUUACUGACGCAGGGCUUCGCCUAAGCACUACGACAAUAUGACCGAGGUGGAAAUCUGUGGAAGGGGCACCGCACACGGCUAAGAAAUCAACUUGUGUGUCUAUGGGGUGCCCCCUCCCCCAUAUAUAAAGGAGUGGAGGAGGGGGCCGGCCGGCCUCAUAGGGUGCGCCCCAAGGGGGGAAUCCUACUCCUACUAGGAGUAGGUUCCCCCCUUUCCUAGUCCAACUAGGAGGGGGAAGGAAAGGGAAGAGGGGACGAAGGAAAGGGGGCCGCCCCCCCUCCCCAAUUCGUAUUGGGCUAGGGGGCGCGCCCCUCCUCUUGGCCGCCUCCUCUCUCUUCCACUAAAGCCCAUGAAGGCCCAUUAACCCCAUGGGAGGUUCCGGUAACCCCCCGGUACUCCGGAAAAUGCCCGAACCUAUCCGAAACCUUUCCGGUGUCCAAACAUAACCUUCCAAUAUAUCAAUAUUCAUGUCUCGACCAUUUCGAGACUCCUCGUCAUGUCCGUGAUCACAUCCGGGACUCUGAACAACCUUUGGUACAUCAAAUCACAUAACUCACAAUACAUAUCGUCAUCGAACGUUAAGCGUGCGGACCCUACAGGUUCGAGAACUAUGUAGACAUGACCGAGACUCAUCUCCAGUCAAUAACCAAUAGCGGAACCUGGAUGCUCAUAUUGGUUCCUACAUAUUCUGCGAAGAUCUUUAUCGGUCAAACCGCAUAACAACAUAAGUUGUUCCCUUUGUCAUCGGUAUGUUACUUGCCCGAGAUUCGAUCGUCGGUAUCAUCAUACCUAGUUCAAUCUAGUUACCGGCAAGUCUCUUUACUCGUUCCGUAAUGCAACAUCCUGUGACUAACUCAUUAGUCACAUUGCUUGCAAGGCUUAUAGUGAUGUGCAUUACCGAGAGGGCCCAGAGAUACCUCUCCGACAAUCGGAGUGACAAAUCCUAAUCUCGAUCUAUGUCAACUCAACAAACACCAUCGGAGACACCUGUAGAGCAUCUUUAUAAUCACCCAGUUACGUUUUGACGUUUGAUAGCACACAAAGUGUUCCUCCGGUAUUUGGGAGUUACAUAAUCCCAUAGUCAUAGGAACAUUUAUAAGUUAUGAAGAAAGCAAUAGCAAUAAACUAAACGAUCAUAGUGCUAAGCUAACGGAUGGGUCAUGUCAAUCACAUCAUUCUGUAAUGAUGUGAUCCCAUUCAUCAAAUGACAACUCAUGUCUAUGGCUAGGAAACUUAACCAUCUUUGAUUAAUGAGCUAGUCAAGUAGAGGCAUACUAGUGACACUCUGUUUGUCUAUGUAUUCACACAUGUACUAAUUUUUCGGUUAAUACAAUUCUAGCAUGAAUAAUAAACAUUUAUCAUGAUAUAAGGAAAUAUAAAUAACAACUUUAUUAUUGCCUCUAGGGCAUAUUUCCUCCAGUCUCCCACUUGCACUAGAGUCAAUAAUCUAGAUUACAUUGUAAUGAUUCUAACACCCAUGGAGUCUUGGUGCUGAUCAUGUUUUGCUCGUGAGAGAGGUUUAGUCAACGGGUCGGCAACAUUCAGAUCCGUAUGUAUCUUGAAAAUCUCUAUGUCUCCCUCCUUGACUUGAUCACGAAUGGAAUUGAAGCGUCUCUUGAUGUGCCUGGUUCUCUUGGGAAAUCUGGAUUCCUUUGCCAAGGCAAUUGCACCAGUAUUGUCACAAAAGAUUUUCAUUGGACCCGAUGCACUAGGUAUGACACCUAGAUCAGAUAUGAACUCCUUCAUCUAGACUCCUUCAUUUGCUGCUUCCGAAGCAGCUAUGUAUUCCGCUUCACACGUAGAUCCCGCCACGACGCUCUGCUUAGAACUGCACCAACUGACAGCUCCACCAUUCAAUAAAAAUACGUAUCCGGUUUGUGACUUAGAGUCAUCCGGAAAAGUGUCAAAGCUUGCAUCGACUUAACCGUUUACGACGAGCUCUUUGUCAGAUCCAUAAACGAGAAACAUAUCCUUAGUCCUUUUCAGGUAUUUCAGGAUGUUCUUGACCACUGUCCAGUGAUCCACUCCUGGAUUACUUUGGUACCUCCCUGCUAAACUAAUAGCAAGGCACACAUCAGGUCUGGUACACAGCAUUGCAUACAUGAUAGAACCUAUGGCCGAAGCAUAGGGAAUGACUUUCAUUUUCUCUCUAUCUUCUGCAGUGGUCGGGCAUUGAGUCUGACUCAACUUCUCACCUUGUAACACAUGCAAGAACCCUUUCUUUGCUUGAUCCAUUUUUAACUUCUUCAAAACUUUAUCAAGGUAUGUGCUUUGUGAAAGUACAAUUAAGCGUCUUGAUCUAUCUCUAUAGAUCUUGAUGCCUAAUAUAUAAGCAGCUUCACCGAGGUCUUUUAUUGAAAAAUUCUUAUUCAAGUAUCCUUUUAUGCUUUUUAGAAAUUCAGUAUCAUUUCCAAUCGACAAUAUGUCAUCCACAUAUAAUAUCAGAAAUGCUACAGAUCUCCCACUCACUUUCUUGUAAAUACAGGCUUCUCCAAAAAUCUGUAUAAAACCAUAUGCUUUGAUCACACUAUCAAAGCGUAUAUUCCAACUCCGAGAUGCUUGCACUAGUCCAUAAAUGGACCGCUGGAGCUUACACACUUUGUUAGCACCUUUUGGAUCGACAAAACCUUCUGGUUGCACCAUAUACACCUCUUAUUUAAGAUAUCCAUUAAGGAAUGCAGUUUUGACAUCCAUUUGCCAAAUUUCAUAAUCAUAAAAUGCGGAAAUUGCUAACAUGAUUCGUAUGGACUUAAGCAUCGCCACGGGUGAGAAGGUCUCAUCGUAGUCAACUCCUUGAACUUGUCGAAAACCUUUCGCAACAAGUCGAGCUUUGUAGACAAUAACAUUACCGUCAGUCUUCUUCUUGAAGAUCCAUUUAUUCUCCAUGGCUUGCCGAUCAUCAGGCAAGUCAACCAAAGUCCACACUUUGUUCUCAUACAUGGAUCCUGUCGGUCUCAAAACCGGCGGAUCUCGGGUAGGGGGUCCCGAACUGUGUGUCUAAGACGGAUGGUAACAUGAGGCAAGGGACACAAUGUUUACCCAGGUUCGGGCCCUCUUGAUGGAGGUAAUACCCUAUGUCCUGCUUGAUUGUUCUUGAUGAUAUGAGUAUCACAAGAGUUGAUCUACCACGAGAUCAUAGAGGCUAAACCCUAGAAGCUAGCCUAUGGUAUGAUUGUAUAUUGUCCUACGGACUAAACCCUCUGGUUUAUAUAGACACCGGAGGGGGCUAGGGUUACACAGAGUCGGUUACAAGGGAGGAGAUCUACAUAUCCGUAUUGCCUAGCUUGCCUUCCAUGCUAAGGUGAGUCCCAUCCGGACAUGAGACGAAGUCUUCAAUCUUGUAUCUUCAUAGUCCAAUAGUCCAGCCAAAGGAUAUAGUCUGGCUGUCCAGAGACCCCCUAAUCCAGGACUCCCUCAGUAGCCCCUGAACCAGGCUUUAAUGACGAUGAGUCCGGCGCGCAGUAUUGUCUUCGACAUUGCAAGGCGGGUUCCUCCUCCGAAUACUCCAUGGAAGAUUUUGAACACAAGGAUAGUGUCCGGCUCUGCAAAACAAGUUCCACAUACCACCAUAGGGAGAAUAACAUUUCCACAAAUCUAAUCUGCUGACACAUUUUGACAGCAUGACAUCACGCCAUGGCCCGGUCAUUGUUCGAACCAUUUUUUCUCAACCAGCACCGCACAUAUCGCGAGGCGUUUUUCUUGACACGUCUUGUCAAAGCAGAGAUCAUGUUCCCCUUAUUACGGGAUUCUCAUCAAUAUGGACGUGGGUAACCCAACCACGCCAUCAAUUACGACGCUUGGGGAAUAAGCGAUUUUGCCAGGCAAGUGGGGAGGCGCAUUGCCUCUUCCGCCCUUAUAAAGGGAUUAGGAUUCACCCUUUUUACCCACGCCUUGUUCCUCCUUGCUUACCCAUUCUCGCACACUCGAGCUCCAGCGCCCAAGUUCGCGUCUUUCUUCUCAAACCACUCCAAGCAUGUCCGGAGCGGGAGGCAAGUGGAUGGUCUCCUACGUCACGGAGGAGAACAUCACAAAGUUACGAGAAGCCGGAUAUCUGGCUGCAGAUAUCAUGCACCGGCUGCCAGAUGCAGGGCAGAUCAUCCCUACGCUCGAACCCCACGAGAGGGUAGUUUUUCUUACCCACUUCGUCCGCGGACUGGGAUUUCCCCUCCACCCAUUCGUCCGUGGGCUCAUGUUCUACUACGGGCUGGAUUUUCAUGAUCUGGCCCCCAAUUUCAUCCUGAACAUCUUGGCGUUUAUUAUCGUGUGCAAGGCCUUCCUCCGCAUCAAGCCCCAUUUUGGCCUGUGGCUGAAGACCUUCAAUGUCAAACCGAAGGUGGUGGUCGGCCAGCAAGUAGAGUGCGGAGGCGCCAUGGUGGUCAAGAUGCCUAACGUCACCUGGCUCGAAGGCUCCUACGUGGAGACCAUAAAGGGGUGGCAAUCGGGGUGGUUUUACAUUACCGAGCCGCGCGACACCAACUGGGCGGCGUUCCCCAAAUUUCGAUCCGGAAUCCCCACGUGGCUCACUUCCUGGAAAGAGAAGGGCCUGUCCUGGGGUUCUUCGGUAGAGCUGACCGGACUCUAGACUUGCAUCAGGAACAUGAUGAGCAAGAAAAUCAAGCUCGUCAACGUGGUCCAGGUCAUGCUCGUCAACGUUUUUUUUCGCGAAAUACAGUGGCCCGUCCGGUGGGUCCCAACUGUCAGGUGGAGGAAUCAUUAUUUUCCGCAUAAUAAGGAGGCACUUCCUUGCUGUAGCCGUGGACCCAGCUGUCAGCCUCUCCACGUAUAGUCCAUGUCCGAUGGAAGUCGUUCCUUGACCAUGUUGACCACGCCGCACCAAGAGCACUAGGGCGGUGGACGACGGCGAGGCCUAGGAAGGGGACGACACGGAGGCAGGGAAGACUCGGCAGUUUUUUCCCACGCGGAGGGAAGUAUGACUGUACGAUGGUUUACUGGUUCGUCUGCCGUCGUCGGAGAAUAAUAGCAGGUGUGGGUGAGUAGAGGGAUGGCUAGGCCAGCGAUGGGAGUACGGUCGGGCGGUGAGGCCUACGCGGCAGCACAGCCGGCCACGAGGAGGAGGGAGUAGGCAGUCCCGCCGGCGCUUGUUUGAGCGGCUGGAGCAGGAAGAGCAGAGAUUGAAGAAGCACGACGGCCGUUGGAUGGACAUCCAACAGUCAGUGCUUGUGCGUCAACCUUUUUUUUAGGAAAGCCUCAAAUCUGUGGAAAACAACAUACAUCCCAUCUUCCAUUAUUUCUAAUAAUUUACAGCCCAUUUGCUAAUUCUUAAGGUUUUUUUGGAGCCCAUAUUCUUUUUGUUAGCAUUACAUCCCAUAUUGUGGCAACGGUUAAAAAAUUAUAUGAAAUUUUGCAUAUUUUGGUGAUGUCCGAACUGUUUUUAAUCCCAAAAUUUCGACUCACAUUUAAAAAAUUAUGUGUUUUAAAAAUGUACAACCCAUUUCUCAUUACUGAUGGGCCAUAAAAAAGACGUUGUGUACCUGAGCAUGAACAGGAACAGAUCCUACGCAAGUGUCACUCCGAGGCUUAUGGAGGACACCAUGCUGGAGAUAGAACUGCACAUAAGGUAUUGCAAUCCGGUUUUUAUUGGCCUACUCUCUUCAAGGAUGCCCGUAAGUUUGUCUUGUCUUGUGAGUUGUGACGAAUGUCAAAGAAUUGGUAAUAUUACUAGACGUCAAGAAAUGCCUAUGAACUAUUCACUUGUUAUUGAACCAUUUGAUGUUUGGGGCUUUGAUUAUAUGGGAUCUUUUCCUUCCUCUAAUGGGUAUACUCAUAUUUUAGUUGCUGUUGAUUACGUUACUAAGUGGGUAGAAGCUAUUCCAACUAGUAGUGAUGAUCAUAACACCUCUAUUAAGAUGCUUAAAGAAGUUAUUUUUCCAAGGUUUGGAGUCCCUAGAUAUUUAAUGACCGAUGGUGGUUCAUAUUUCAUUCAUGGUGCUUUUGGUAAAAUGCUUGCUAAGUAUGAUGUUAAUCAUAGAAUUGCAUCUCCAUAUCAUUCACAGUCUAGUGGUCAAGUAGAACUUAGCAAUAGAGAGCUUAAAUGAAUUUUGCAAAAGACUAUUAAUAGAUCUAGAAAGAAUUGGUCCAAGAAACUUGAUGAUGCAUUAUGGGCCUAUAGAACUGCAUACAAAAAUUCUAUGGGUAUGUCUCCAUAUAAAAUGGUUUAUUGUAAAGCAUGUCACUUACCUCUUGAAUUAGAACAUAAGGCAUAUUGGGCUAUUAAAGAGCUCAACUAUGACUUCAAACUUGCCGGUGAGAAGAGGCUUUUUGACAUUAGCUCACUUGAUGAAUGGAGAACCCAGGCUUAUGAGAAUGCCAAACUGUUUAAAGAAAAAGUCAAAAGAUGGCAUGACAAAAGGAUACAAAAACGUGAGUUUAAUGUAGGUGAUUAUGUAUUGUUAUACAACUCUCGUUUAAGAUUUUUUGCAGGCAAACUCCUCUCUAAAUGGGAAGGUCCUUACAUCAUCGAGGAGGUUUACCAUUCUGGUGCCAUAAAAAUCAACAACUUCGAAGGCACCAAUCCGAGGGUGGUAAACGGUUAGAGAAUCAAACAUUAUAUCUCAGGUAAUCCCAUAAAUGUUGAAACUAAUGUUAUCGAAACCAUAACCCCGGAGGAAUACAUAAGGGACACUUUCCAGAAUGUUCUAGACCCCGAAAAGGAAUAGGUACGUGGUAUGGUAAGUAAACCGACUCCAAAACAAUUCUAAUGGCAAUUUUUCUCCGUUUUGGAAUAUUUAAGAAAAUAGGAAAAUAAGAAGCAGACUGGAAAGGACACGAGGCUUCCACGAGGGUGGAGGGCGCGCCCCCUGCCUCGUGGGCACCCCGUGUGCUCUCCGGACUCUGUUUUCUUGCACGAUACUUCUUUUGGUCGGUAAAAAAUCACUAUAUAAUCUCUCGAAGAUUUUGACCACUGUAUCAUGCAAAUAUCUCAUGUCUUUGUUUCGAGCUGUUUUUCUGACAGAUCUAGGUUGCCAUGUCAUCUUCAAGUGCCCCCAAGGACAAGUUCUUCGAGAAGGUCAUCAACCCCUACCUCGCGGAGGUGCUGCAACACCCUCAAACCAUUGAGAUGCGUGAGGGGUUGUUGCGCAUCCGCGAUGUUGAGGGACCAAGGAGGAUCGGAAGCACGGAGACAAGGCUCGAGGCAUUGGAGCAACAAGUUUUCAAGUGCGAGGAGAUGGUGGAACGUGGACUUGACUCCAACCAUAUAAUGAUCAUGGAGUUCACUAACAACCACAAGCUGGAUGACAAGAACAUUGGGGAGGCCAUCUUCAAGCUUCAUGAGAAAAUCGAGCACCUCCAAGCCCAGAUCUAUGACCUACAAAACCAAAAGUGUGAGUAUGAAUAUAGAUUCAAGAGGAUGAGUUUGGCUGCAGAUUUGAGGAUCCUAGAGACUCGAUAAUCUUUCUAUGAUGGUGAGCCUAUGCCUUGGAAGAUGGACGACAAGCCUACAUCAUCAAGAACUCCUUCAUCACCAUCUCCGAGGAAGGAAACAUAAACACAUGGGUAUGGGCACUCCCCUUGGCAACUGCCAAGCUUGGGGUGUGCCCCAGUAUCGUAUCACCAUCACUUUUAUCUUUACCUUUUUCUUAGUUCGAUGCUUUUGAUAAUAUCUUGAUCUAGUAGAAUAAAGUUUUAGUAUGAUCUAGUUGUGAGUUUUGCUUUAUGAUCUUCCUAUGUAAUCGAGUCCGUUAGCUAUAUAUAAUAAAGAUUAGUGUUGAGUCAAGGGCUUGAUUAUUUUGCUAUGAUCUUGAGGGAAUAAAAUAAAACAAAAAAAAUAAAAAGAAAUAAAGAGAUCAUAUGGAUCUUAUGGAGAGUAAUGAGCUCACAUAUAAAGAGUAUGAUGAAUAAAAGUUGUUGAGAGUUGACAAACAUAGUUUUGGUCAUCGUUGCAAUUAAUAGGAAGUAAUAAAGAAAGAGAGGUUUUCACAUACAAAUAUACUAUCUUGGACAUCUUUUAUAAUUGUGAGCACUCAUUAAAGUAUGAUAUGCUAAAGAGUUGACGUUGGACAAGGAAGACAACAUAAUGGGUUAUGCUUUCUUACAUCUGAGAUAAAUUAUAUUGUCAUGGAUCAUCCAACAUGUUGAGCUUGCCUUUCCCUCUCUUGCUAGCCAAUUUCCUUGCACCAAGUAGAGAUACUACUUGUGCUUCCAAAUAUCCCUAAAACCAGUCUUACCAUGAGAGUCCACCAUAUCUACCUAUGGAUUGAGUAAGAUCCUUCAAGUAAGUUGUCAUCGUUGCAAGCAAUAAGAAUUGCUCUCUAAAUAUGUAUGACUUAUUAGUGUGGAGAAAAUAAGCUUUAUACGAUCUUGUGUUGUGGAAGAAAUAAAAGCGACAGACUGCAUAAUAAAGGUCCAUAUCACAAGUGGCAAUAUAAAGUGACGUUCUUUUGCAUUAAGAUUUCGCGCAUCCAACCAUAAAAGCACAUGACAACCUCUGCUUCCCUCUGCGAAGGGCCUAUCUUUUAUUCUUGUCUUAUAAUUCAUGCAAAGAGUCAUGGUGAUCUUCACCUUUCCUUUUACAUUUUAUCCUUUGGCAAGCACAAUGUGUUGGAAAGAUCCUGAUAUAUAUGGCUAAUUGGAUGUGGGUCUUCAUGAACUAUUAUUGUUGACAUUACCCUCGAGGUAAAACGUUGGGAGGCAAAACUAUAAGCCCCUGUCUUUCUCUGUGUCCGAUUAAAACUUCAUAACCAUAAAUAUCGCGUGAGUGUUAGCAAUUGUGAAAGACUAAAAGAUGGUUGAGUAUGUGGACUUGCUGAGAAGCUCUUAUAUUGACUCUUUCCUAUGUUAUGAUAAAUUGCAAUUGCUUCAAUGAUUGAGAUUAUAGUUAGUUAGUUUUCAAUGAAGUUUCUGAUUCAUACUUGAGUAUGUGAAUGAAUUGUUACUUUAACAUAGGACAAUUUUAAUUUCGGCUUUCGCUUGAGGACAAGCGAGGUCUAAGCUUGGGGGAGUUGAUACGUCCAUUUUGCAUCAUGCUUUUAUAUCGAUAUUUAUUGCAUUAUUGGCUGUUAUUACACAUUAUGUCACAAUACUUAUGCCUAUUCUCUCUUAUUUUACAAGGUUUACAUGAAGAGGGGGAAUGCCGGCAGCUGGAAUUCUGGGCUGGAAAAGGAGCAAAUAUUAGAGACCUAUUCUGCACAUCUCCAAAAGUCUUGAAACUCCACGGGAAUUAUUUUCAGAAUAUAUAAAAAUAUUGGGCGAAAUAAGUACCAGAGGGGAGCCACCCACCGUCCACGAGGGUGGGGGGAGCGCCCUACCCCCCUGGGCGUGCCCUCCUGCAUCGUGGGCCCCCUGGUGGCCCUCUGAUGCCCAUAUUUGGCUAUAUGGAGUAUUUCGUCGAGGAAAAAGUCAUAAGCUAGCUCACGGGAUGAAACUCCGCAGGCACGAGGCGGAACCAAUCUAGGGCUUCGGCGGAACUAUUCUGCCGGGGAAAUUUCCCUCCGGGAGGGGGAAAUCAUAACCAUCAUCAUCACCAACAAUCCUCUCAUCGGGAGGGGGUCAAUCUCCAUCAACAUCUUCACUAACACCAUCUUGUAUCCAAUCUUUGUAUCCAAACCUCAGAUUGGUACCUGUGGGUUGCUAGUAGUGUUGAUUACUCCUUGUAGUUAAUGCUAGUUGGUUUACUUGGUGGAAGAUCAUAUGUUCAGAUCCAUUAUGCAUAUUAACACCCCUCUGAUUAUGAACAUGAAUAUUCUUUGUGAGUAGUUACGUUUGUUCCUGAGGACAUGGGAGAAGUCUUGCUAUAAGUAGUCAUGUGAAUUUGGUAUCCGUUCGAUAUUUUGAUGAGAUGUAUGUUGUCAUCACUCCAGUGGUGUCAUGUGAACAUCGACUAGUGAUGUCUGCUACACAACCUUCUUCUUGUAGACGUUGUUGGGCCUCCAAGUGCAGAGGUAUGUAGGACAGUAGCAAAUUUCCCUCAAGUGGAUGACCUAAGGUUUAUCAAUCCGUGAGAGGUGUAGGAUGAAGAUGGUGGUAUAUGGAUAGUAGAUAAAGGUAUUUGUAAUCUUAAAUAAUAAAAACAGCAAGGUAACGAAUGAUAAAAGUGAGCGUAAACGGUAUUGCAAUGCUAGGAAACAAGGCCUAGGGUUCAUACUUUCACUAGUGCAAGUCCUCUCAACAAUAAUAACACAAUUGGAUCACAUAACUAUCCCUCAACAUGCAACAAAGAGUCAUUCCAAAGUCACUAAUAGCGGAGAACAAACGAAGAGAUUAUGGUAGGGUACGAAACCACCUCAAAGUUAUUCUUUCCAAUCAAUCCGUUGGGCUAUUCCUAUAGAUGUCACAAACAGCCCUAGAGUUUGUACUAGAAUAACACCUUAAGACACAAAUCAACCAAAACCCUAAUGUCACCUAGAUACUCCAAUGUCACCUCAAGUAUCCGUGGGUAUGAUUAUACGAUAUGCAUCACACAAUCUCAAAUUCAUCUAUUCAACCAACACAUAGAACCUAAAAGAGUGCCCCAAAGUUUCUACCGGAGAAUCACGACGAAAACGUGUGCCAACCCCUAUGCAUAGGUUCAUGGGCGGAACCCGCAAGUUGAUCACCAAAACAUACAUCAAGUGAAUCACGUGAUAUCCCAUUGUCACCACAGAUAUCCACGGCAAGACAUACAUCAAGUGUUCUCAAAUCUUUAAAGACUCAAUCCGAUAAGAUAACUUCAAAGGGGAAACUCAAUUCAUUACAAGAGAGUAGAGGGGGGAGAAAACAUCAUAAGAUCCAACUAUAAUAGCAAAGCUCGCGAUACAUCAAGAUCGUAUCACCUCAAGAACACGAGAGAGAGAGAGAGAUCAAACACAUAGCUACUAGUACAUACCCUCAGCCCCGAGGGAGAACUACUCCCUCCUCGUCAUGGAGAGCACCGGGAUAAUGAAGAUGGCCACCGGAGAGGAAUUCCCCCUCCGGCAGGGUGCCGGAACGGGUCUAGAUUGGCUUUCGGUGGCUACGGAGGCUUCUGGCGGUGGAACUCCCGAUCUAUUGUGCCCCCGGAUGUUUUUAGGGUAUAUGGAGAUAUAUAGGCGGAAGAAGUACGUCAGGGGGGCCACGAGGGGCUCACGAGGGUGGAGGGCGCGCCCAGGGGGGUGGGCGCCCCCCUGCAUCGUGAACUCCUCGCAGAUCCCACGACGUGCACUCCAAGUCUUCUGGGCUUCUUUCCUUCCAAAAAAGAGUUCCGUGAAGUUUCAGGUCAAUUGGACUCUGUUUGAUUUCCCUUUUCUUCGAAACCCUAAAACAGGGUAAAAAACAGAAACUGGCACUGGGCUUUGGGUUAAUAGGUUAGUCCCAAAAAUGAUAUAAAAGUGUAUAAUAUAGCCCAUAAACAUUCAAAACAGUAGAUAAUAUAGCAUGGAGCAAUCAAAAAUUAUAGAUACGUUGGAGACGUAUCAGCAUCCCCAAGCUUAAUUCCUGCUCGUCCUCGAGUAGGUAAAUGAUAAAAGAAAGAAUUUUUGAUGUGGAAUGCUAGUUGGCAUAAUUUCAAUGUAAUUCUUCUUAAUUGUGGCAUGAAUAUUCAGAUCCGAAAGAUUCAAGACAAAAGUUCAUAUUGACAUAGAAAUGAUAAUACUUCAAGCAUACUAACUAAGCAAUCAUGUCUUCUCAAAAUAACAUGGCCAAAGAAAGUUCAUCCCUACAAAAUCAUAUAGUUUAGUCAUGUUUCAUUUUCGUCACACAAGAAUGCUCUCAUCAUGCACAACCCUGAUGACAAGCCAAGCAAUUGUUUCAUACUUUAGUAAUCUCAAACCUAUAAACCUUCACGCAAUACAUGAGCGCGAGCCAUGGAUAUAGCACUAUGGGUGGAAUAGAAUAUAAUGAAGGGGGUUAUGUGGAGAAGACAAAAAAGGAGAAAGUCUCACAUCAACGAGGCUAAUCAAUGGGCUAUGGAGAUGCCCACCGAUUGAUGUUAAUGCAAGGAGUAGGGAUUGCCAUGCAACGGAUGCACUAGAGCUAUAAAUGUAUGAAAGCUCAACAAAAGAAACUAGUGGGUGUGCAUCCAACUUGCUUGCUCACGAAGACCUAGGGCAGUUGAGGAGGCCCAUUGUUGGAAUAUACAAGCCAAGUUUUAUAAUGAAAAAUUCCCACUAGUGUAUGAAAGUGAUAACAUGAGAGACUCUCUACUAUGAAGAUCAUGGUGCUACUUUGAAGCACACGUGUGGUAAAAGGAUAGUAACAUUGUCCCUUCUCUCUUUUUUUCUCAUUUUUUUGGGCCUUCUCUUUUUUAUGGCCUUUCUCUUUUUUGGGCCUUCUCUUUUUUUAUGGCCUUUCUCUUUUCUUUUUUUUGUUUAUUCCUCACUUGGGACAAUGCUCUAAUAAUGAUGAUCAUCACACUUCUAUUUAUUUACAACUCAAUGAUUACAACUCGAUACUAGAACAAAGAUGACUCUAUGUGAAUGCCUCCGGGGGUGUACCGGGAUAUGCAAUGAACCAAGAGUGACAUGUAUGAAAGAAUUAUGAACGGUGGCUUUGCCACAAAUACUAUGACAACUACAUGAUCAUGCUAAGCAAUAUGACAAUGAUGAAUGUGUCAUGAUGAACGGAAUGAUGGAAAGUUACAUGACAAUAUAUCUCGGAAUGGCUAUGGAAAUGCCAUAAUAGGUAGGUAUGGUGGCUGUUUUGAGGAAGAUAUAAGGAUGUUUAUGUGUGAAAGAGCGUAUCAUAUCACAGGGUUUGGAUGCACCGGCGAAGUUUGCGCCAACUCUCAAUGUGAGAAAGGGCAAUGCACGGUACCAAAGAGGCUAGAAAGGAUGGAAGGGUGAGAGUGCGUAUAAUCCAUGGACUCAACAUUAGUCAUAAAGAACUCACAUACUUAUUGCAAAAAUCUACAAGUCAUCAAAAACCUCGGCACUACGCGCAUGCUCCUAGGGAGAUAGAUUGGUAGGAAA